AUACGGAGGGUCCAAGCGUUAUCCGGAAUCAUUGGGUUUAAAGGGUCCGUAGGCGGACAAUUAAGUCAGAGGUGAAAGCCCACAGCUCAACUGUGGAACUGCCUUUGAUACUGGUUGUCUUGAAUUAUAGUGAAGUAGAUAGAAUAUGUAGUGUAGCGGUGAAAUGCAUAGAUAUUACAUAGAAUACCGAUUGCGAAGGCAGUCUACUAGCUAUAUAUUGACGCUGAUGGACGAAAGCGUGGGGAGCGAACAGGAUUAGAAACCCCAGUAGUCC
rnacentral:rRNA from 1 species